rnacentral:rRNA from 1 species
UAGGUCGACCCGCUGAAUUUAAGCAUAUCACUAAGCGGAGGAAAAGAAACUAACCAGGAUUCCCCUAGUAACGGCGAGUGAAGAGGGAAUAGCCCAGCACCGAAGCCUGCGGUAGGUUUACUGCUAGGCAAUGUGGUGUUUGGGUCGACUCGCGGGAUUGCCACUCCACUCGAAGUCCAGCACUGAGUAUGGUUCCCUGGAUUUGGCCCAGAGAGGGUGAAAGGCCCGUGCGAGUGGAGGUUCAGACAUGUGAGGCAAUUCACCAGGUCGACCUUCGAGUCGGGUUGUUUGGGAAUGCAGCCCAAAGUGGGUGGUAAACUCCAUCCAAGGCUAAAUACAAGCACGAGUCCGAUAGCGAACAAGUACCGUGAGGGAAAGUUGAAAAGUACUUUGAAGAGAGAGUAAACAGUACGUGAAACCGCAUAGAGGUAAACGGGUGGCGUCAAGCUGCAAGCCUAGAGGAUUCAGUUGAUCGGUGUGUAUGCGCGCCUGGCGUGUCUGUCGGACGGACAGUCCACUGCGAAAUGGUGGGCCUGCCUUUCUUCUUGGGGGCAGGAUCGGUGUACCGGGAGGUUGCCGGUGCCGGCUGUUUUGUCUGUCUGCGCAGUGUGGAUGGACCGGUCAAUGCACUUCCUCUAUU